GUAUAAUGUUAUGUUUUAAAAUGGAUAAAGAAGGGAAACAAAGUGAUUUUGGUUUUUAAUCUUGUUUCUUAAAGGCACAGACAUUUGCAAAGACAUUGACAGGUAUACCAAGUUACUUUUUAUUUAUUCAAAAUAUUAUUGACUAAUAAUUUACUUUAAACUGACAUAAAUGUUCUUCUCCAUCAUUUCCACAGCUCUGACCUGGAAUUCUACAUCAGCAUGUCCACCAACGUUCCUUGCAAUUUUACUCUGGAGAAAUAUGCAUGUGCACAGUUGGAGAAUUUUGCAGCUAAUCAGCUGGCUUCCCUCCUGAGAUGUGAUCUGCCCAGAAACAGCAGCCGCUCCAGAGUGUUGUGGAAAUUGCUGCUCACCAAAUUCUCCAAUGUCUUGGAUCCAGCACUGGACCUGUUGGCUAACAUGGUUUGUUCUUUAACUCUGAUAUGAUAUUGUGAAGCCCCAAAACAUUCACUCCUAAAUGCAGUCACAAUGUUUGUAAUGUUGAAUUUGGUCUCCAACAGUCUGUGGACGUGGUCAGUCCAUCAGCACCUGAGAUUUUGGAUGUCAUUGGAGAGAUGAGGCUCUUCCUGCUAACUAAUGAACAGCUGAUGGACAGCAAUGUGAUCAAGUUGUGGUUCUCAGAGCGUUUAAGUGGCUUCCUGCCGUCUGCCUCAGAAAUGUUCCUGCUGUGUCUGAGCAGCAGGAACCUCAGCUGUCAGUCGUACCAUCAGAUAGUGCAGGUGUUUAGUCGUCAAUUCAGAGACAUAUCAUUCCAACAGCAGCAAACAGUCUUGAGGGAUUUCAUCCUCCGUUUCCUGUCAGAACCUCACACAGGUCCAGGCUGUUUGUCGUCCUCCAACAGCAGUGCACAGUGGCUGAGGGACAACUUGGGUUCUUUCUCAGAGCUUCUGUCAGUCAGCAAGAUGUUUGAUCUGAACCCACAGUUCAAUCCUAUAGAGGCUCUGAGUGUCCUGAGUCCAAAGCAGAGUGCAGAGCUGCUGGUGCUGAAAUAUCCCACUCUGCCAAACACAGACGUCAUUAUCAACAAGCUCUUUGAUUAUUUCACUGAGUCUCCAAGAGAGAGGAAGUUUACAGAGUUCCUGUCAUUCCUUGUCGUGUUUCUGGAAAUGGUAACCAGGAAAUAUCUCUAUAAUUUUGAAAAUAUUAAAAUAUGAAUAUUUCUGACAGAGAAAUUAUGCUUUUGUUUAUUUUUCUUUUCAAAGGGAGAUCUGUCCUGCUCUUCAUACAAAACCCUGUAAGAUUCAGAUUCAGAUUCAGAUCUUCUCUUUUUAACAUAUUUCAACUGGAAAAAAAAUCCUCUGAUUAUUUCCCCACUUGUUUUUGAUGUCUUAGGUUCAGUAGACUUGACGAUGCAGCAGCCACAGGUUUUCUUGAUGUUUCCUCAGCCAUCACAAACAACAAAUACGAACUUUCCAAGAAUAUACCAUCUGGUAAGGGAUUCUCUCAGACAACAUCACAGAUUUUUAUUUAUCAAAACCUUUCUGCUCGAUGUAGCUCAACAACCUCUUUCUUGAUGUGGUUUGUAUUUUUUAACAUUACUCAUUUUUUUAACUCUUUGACUUCUACCUGAGUUCAGAAAUUUGAAAAAAAUAUUCAAUCCAUGUAGCAUUUUAAAUAAAACAAAGAUUUCUCUUGGAAUUUGCAUUGCUAAUGGGACUACAUAUCAGUACUGUACUACUUAAAGUGCUCUACAGAUUUUUAUUUUAGAAGCAUUCAUUCAUUUCAUUCAUCUUCUUGACCGUUUAUUCCCUUUCGGGGUCACGGGGUUGCCGGAGCCUAUCCCGGCCACUUGGGCGUAGGCAAGGGAUGCCCUGGACUGGUCGCCAGUCUGUCGCAGGGUAUUUUAGAAGCAUAAAAAACGAAAAGAAGCAUACAAAAGUAUUGUACACAAGCAUAACACAAAAUGAAGAGAGAGUGUUUUUAUGAACAGGCUCAGUUAUGACAGCAUUUUGUUCUGAGAUUUUUUUCUUCUUGGUAUUUCAGGUUGUGCCAUCUACAGUGGAGAGGUAAUUGUAUUGGAUUUGCAAUAGUUUCAGUCAUUUAAAAAAUAUGAAUAAAAGACUAAAACCAGGUUUGUGUCUUUUCUCCAAAGUGCAACGCCAUCACAGCAAAUCGUAAGCAUGUUCAUUAAGCUUGGAAGUUAAUGUGAAAUGAUGCAGAUUUGAUUAUUCAUUCAUUUGUGGUGUUUUCUUUUAUACAGAGUCAGAUAUCUGCAAUGGAGUGAAUAGGUAUGUCUUGUAUUUUCAAGGAUCUCACUGUUCAUUCAAUUUGAGAAAUAAUUGAGCUUUGCUAUAAUAUUGAUCCACAGCACAGAGCUUCAGCUUCAACUCAGCAGUGGAAAGAUGAGCGGACAUUUCUGUGACUUCUCUGCGGAGGAGUUUGCCUGUGCCUCUGUAAGACAAAAAGAAAAUCCUCAGAUCAACUUCUGUAUUUCCAAAAUAAGUUACAAGUUCAUGUUUCUACAGUUUUUACUUUCCUUGUUUUUGUAAAGCUUUCAGCAUUGACAGCACAAGAUCUGGCAGAGAUAAUGAAGUGUGAUCGAUCAUCCAGCUCAAGUGGGUCCAAUGAAGUUUGGAAGCUUCUUCUCUCUGAAGCUUCUGGGGUGCUGGAUGAAGCUUUGGACCUUCUGGCCAACUCAGUAUGAAUUUAUUUUCUGGUUGCUUUUGUGUUAAUUUGUGUUCUUAAAGGGGAUAAUUAGGAAUAGAUUUGUAACCCACUGGAAAGUUUCCUUUUUAUGCAAAAUAGUUUUAAAUUUUAUUGUUG
ensembl:lncRNA